GCAGCGUGAGCGCGCGGUGCAGUGGCAGCGUCGGGGGCUCCAGCGCCGGCCCCACUGGCCCCGCGGCCUCUGCGGACAGACGGCCGGAGCAGGGAGUCACUACUGCCCCGACUCAACAUGGAGACCCAGAGCAUCCAAACUAAGCUUCUUUCCAUGCAGAGUGUCUGGCAGCCCCCUGAAGGAAUGAGUUGCCCAUCACCAGAGAUAUAAUGAAAGUAAGAAUUCUGAGACAAGAUCUUAGAUUUUGGGCUCUCAAUCCAAUGACUGGUAUCUUUAUAAGAAGAGAAGGCCACAUGAGGACAGAGGCAGAGACUGGGGUGAUGCGGCCGCAAGCCAAGGGACGCCUGGAGGUACUGGAAGCCCGAGGAGGCAAAGAACCAUCCACUCUGAGAACCUCCAGAGGGAGCAGGGCCCCGCCGACACCUGGAUCUUGGGCUUCCGGCCUCCAGAAUAUCAAGGAAGCAAACUGUUGCUUGAAGCCAUCGAGCUUGUGGGCGUUCAGGAGAGCAGGUUAAGGGGCCUGCCAGGGCUCUGCUGUGCAACCUGGGGCCCAGCACUCGCCCUCUCUGUGCCUCAAUCUCCUCAAGUAAGAAACUUGCUCACGGUGUCCUCUCUCCCUCCUCAGUGUGAACAACAGAGUGGUUGAAAAGAAUAAAAGGACGAAAUCCCUCUGGGUCAGAACACCUCAUUCCGAGGACCUUCCUUCAUUCUCUAAGUCA